AUGAUUGUUGAUACAACUUUGGUGAUGUUUCCAUUUUAUUUCCUGUCUGGCAUGAACAUGGCUGUCUAGAACUGGGCAACCAUGCAAUAUUUCUACCUGGAGCAGCAUCGACCCAUUUUCCUGAUGAGAAACUGUGAAUUUCCCAUCUGGCAUGAACACGGCUGUCUAGGACUUGGUCCCCAUGUAAUCUUCCAAUCUAGAACAGCAUCAGCCCAUUUUUCUGAUGAGAAACUUUGUUUAGGAUGUGGCUCUCUAGAAUUUGGCAACCAUGUAAUCUUCCAAUCUGGAGCAGCACUGAUCCAUUUUCCUGAUGAGAAACUGAGUUUAGCAUGUGGCUCUCUAGAACUUGGCAACCAUGUAAUCUUCCUAUCUGGAGCAGCACCGACCCGUUUUCCUGAUGAGAAACUGUGGUGAGUAUCGUUUAUAUCGCGAAG
rnacentral:lncRNA from 1 species